rnacentral:rRNA from 1 species
UUGACGGGGACCCGCACAAGCGGUGGAGCAUGUGGUUUAAUUCGAAGCAACGCGAAGAACCUUACCAAAUCUUGACACUCCGAUGACCAAGCAUGUAAUUGUCUCUCUCUUCGGAGCAUCGGUGACAGGUGGUGCAUGGUUGUCGUCAGCUCGUGUCGUGAGUAGUUGGGUUAGUCCUGCAACGAGCGCACCCUUGUCCUUAGUAGCCAGCAAUUGCCUUGGGCACUCUACUCAGACUGC